ensembl:misc_RNA Y_RNA Y RNA
GGCUGGUCAGAUGGCAGUGGGUGAUCAGAACUUAUUAACAUUAGUGUCACUAAAGUUGGUAUACCACCCCCCACCCCCCACUGCUAAAUUUGCCUGGCUUAAA